rnacentral:rRNA from 1 species
CCUACGGGUGGCAGCAGUAAGGAAUAUUGGUCAAUGGGCGCAAGCCUGAACCAGCCAUGCCGCGUGAAGGAUGACGGCCCUAUGGGUUGUAAACUUCUUUUGUACGGGAAAAAACCUCUGGUCGUGAAUCAGAGCUGAUGGUACCGUAAGAAUAAGCAUCGGCUCACUCCGUGCCAGCAGCCGCGGUAAUACGGAGGAUGCAAGCGUUAUGGGGUUUCAGGGGGUGUAGGCGGUGCGCUAAGUCAGUGGUGAAAGCCUACAGCUUAACUGUAGAACUGCCAUUGAUACUGUUAUUCUUGAGUGUUGUUGAGGUAGGCGGAAUGUGUCAUGUAGCGGUGAAAUGCUUAGAUAUGACACAGAACACCGAUCGCGAAGGCAGCUUACCAAGCAACAACUGACGCUCAUGCACGAAAGCGUGGGGAUCAAACAGGAUUAGAUACCCCAGUAGUC